GCCAGAGGUGGAAGAGCAAAGCAAGUGAUUCCUCCAUCAGCUCACCCAGUUGGGUACCAUCAGCAUCCCCGCAUGGAGCCCUGCCUUCCGAAGGCUCCCCGCGGUGCCACCCAUCCGUGCUGCAGCCAAAAUCAGCGGCAGUGGGCGCUGCACCCGGCAGCACAAUGAACGGCCUAAAACUCCAUUCUCUUUGCACGCAGUUUUUGUCACUGUUAAACCUCGGCCAGCGGUGAAGGAUCUGCAGGGCUGUUUGAGUUGUCAGCUUUAUUCUCCCAAAUACCUGGAGAACAAUGGAGAUGAGUGCCGUGAUCCGAACUGCUGGCAGCACCGCAGCUCACCUCUCCGCACGGCAAAGCCCGUGUAUUUAAAUACAAUUAAGAAGCUUUCACAAGUGAGUAAUUCCAGGACUGGGAUUAAGGGAUGUGGUCAAGCAGGAUGCCUAUUGUCUGUGUGGAAGGGAAAAUCUGCUUCCCUUCCGUCUGGGCUGUAUCGCUCUGCCCUAAUAAACCACUGCCAC
rnacentral:lncRNA from 7 species